UUCCGUAGGGGUGACCUGCGGAGGGAUCAUUACCGAGUUUACAACUCCCAAACCCCUGUGAACAUACCUUAUGUUGCCUCGGCGGAUCAGCCCGCGCCCCGUAAAAAGGGACGGCCCGCCGCAGGAACCCUAAACUCUGUUUUUAGUGGAACUUCUGAGUAUAAAAAACAAAUAAAUCAAAACUUUCAACAACGGAUCUCUUGGUUCUGGCAUCGAUGAAGAACGCAGCAAAAUGCGAUAAGUAAUGUGAAUUGCAGAAUUCAGUGAAUCAUCGAAUCUUUGAACGCACAUUGCGCCCGCCAGUAUUCUGGCGGGCAUGCCUGUUCGAGCGUCAUUUCAACCCUCAAGCCCAGCUUGGUGUUGGGAGCUGCAGUCCUGCUGCACUCCCCAAAUACAUUGGCGGUCACGUCGAGCUUCCAUAGCGUAGUAAUUUACACAUCGUUACUGGUAAUCGUCGCGGCCACGCCGUUAAACCCCAACUUCUGAAUGUUGACCUCGGAUCAGGUAGGAAUACCCGCUGAACUUAAGCAUAUCAAAAAGCCGGAGGAA
rnacentral:rRNA from 1 species